rnacentral:rRNA from 1 species
GUACACUCCUACGGGAGGCAGCAGUGGGGAAUUUUACGCAAUGGGGGAAACCCUGACGUAGCGACACCGCGUGAGCGAAGAAGCCCUUUGGGGUGUAAAGCUCUGUCAGCUGGAACGAAAACAAUGACGGUACCAGCAGAGGAAGCAUCGGCUAACUACGUGCCAGCAGCCGCGGUAAGACGUAGGAUGCGAGCGUUGUCCGGAUUUAUUGGGCGUAAAGAGUUCGUAGGUGGUUUGUUAAGUUUGGUGUUAAAGAUCGGGGCUCAACCCUGGGACUGCACUGAAUACUGGCAGACUCGAGUGUGGUAGAGGCUAGUGGAAUUCCCAGUGUAGCGGUGAAAUGCGUAGAUAUUGGGAAGAACACCGGUGGCGUAGGCGACUAGCUGGGCCAUAACUGACGCUGAGGAACGAAAGCCAGGGGAGCGAAUGGGAUUAGAUACCCGGGUAGUCC